GAUUUAUAUAGGAUGUGUUUCUCUUUAAAUACCAACGAAAGUCGGUUUUUUAUUCAUAGUCUUGAUUGCACCGACAUUCUAUACAUCAACUCCUGCAGUAUAAAUAAUUAACUAUUCAAAAAUGUCCAAGGUACUCUUCUUAUUUAUUGCAUUGGUAGCCAUCAUUUCGAUGACGGAAGUUGGCGCUGAAGAUUGUAAAUUAUUCACACAUGCUUGCGAAACUAAUGCAGACUGCUGUUCAAAUGUUUGUGCUUCAAAUUUCUUGGGACGCUGGUUUUCAAGAACCGGCAAAUAUUGCUCAAUCUCCAUAGUCGGUAACAUGCCAAAACGCAGUUAAUAAUGGAUAAAACUAUCUAAUAUUGUUUGUAACGUGUAUACUAAUAAUUAAUUAUAGUAAAUAUAAUGAUUUGAAGAAAAAAAGCAUUUUUUUAUUAUAUAUUUACCCGAGAAAAAUAAGUUAGAAAAAAACUCGACAUGUCGAGCUUCGCAAUUUGAGACAAAUUCAAACUUUUGUUGAAUUAAUGCCUCAGUAAGCUGCAGUUGUCUAACGAUUUAUUUCUGAUGACUCAAUUGCUAUAAUUUGGUCUACGUCAGACAAUUCUAUUAAUUAUUAUUUCAAUAUUUACUCUGAGACUGAGCAGUAUAAAAUUCAUGUAAAUAAGUAUUUAAUAGGGAUGUCAUGAAUAAUUUUUAAUUAGAAUUUAUAAAAAAUUAUAUAUAUUUUUUUUGUAUUCAAGUAAAAAUAAAAUUAUUACUGUAGUCAAAUUGAGGAUGAAAUUUCCUCUAAUUUGAGUACCCACAUCAAUAUAUUUAAAAAUAGUUAAUUAGGUCAGCCUACAUAGGUCAAAGUUCCCGCCAUUUUCAAGCUCAACAAUAAUUUUUUUUUAGCAAAUAAAAUUUACAAACAGACACACAUAUGGACACCCAUCGGAAUCACAGUUUUCUAUGUGGAUUUCCCAUAUGGAAAACCAGGUACCCAUACUUUCCUACAUGGAUUUUAUAUAAAUUUAUACACUCUUACAUCAUUUCCUAUGGAUUCUUCUUUAUAAGACGUGUAUUUAUGAAGAUAUUUUUAAAAAACUUUUCUAGAUCUUAUCAAUCGGGCAUUUUAAUGAUAACGAAUUUUAAAAAUGACGUGUUUUCAUAAAUAUAGACAACAUCGUAGCUCGUUACAUAUCAAUUAUUAAGGCUUGUUACACUUUCUGUAUACUUAGAAAAAUGUUAUUUUCAAAAUUUGUAAUCCUCAAAACGCUCAAUUAAUCAAAUCUGAAAAAAGUUUUUUUAAAAUAUCUUCAUAAAUACAAAUUUUUUAGAAAAAAUGAACAUAACCUUUUUUGCCAAGAAUUUAAUUUCCUACAAAAUUGUUCCUAUGCUUUUUUCCUUUAAUCUGCAUAUUUCAUGAGAUAUUUAAUGAAAACCUCGAUUGUAUCGAAAAAUGAACUUCGAUCGUCCUUCGGCACGUGUUCUUUUUACUUAAAACGAAAAAACUGAAUUCCCCACGUAUUUUUUCACUAAAAAGAAGCAUUUUAUGAGGCGUCUGAGAAAAUUUAAUUUUUAACGAUCAUCCUAAUAUAUAUUAAUAUUUGUAAAUAUAUAUGAUUAAAUACAAUUAUUUAUUCAUGUGGGUUCUGCAUGAAUAUAUCUAACAGAAGUGGUAAUUGAUUAUCAAUGUCGGCUUGUUUAUUCAUGUCUGAGUUUUCGAAAAAUAAAAGAAAAUACAAGUGGCGAAUGUGAAUACAUAAUUAAUAAACAUCAAGGUGUUGUUUACAUUAGUUGGUACAGAAUUGAUGUGUUAUCUCUGCAAAAUUAAGGCAAAUUUAUUAUUUUAUUGUUUAAAAUUUUUUUCGAUAGGUAAAUGAAUUAAUAUUUUCCUUUUUUUUUUAAAAUGUCGAUAGCAAUUGGGUGUAAAUAAAAAAAAUUUGGAAAAUCUAAAAAUGCACGUCUUAUAACGCUUAUUUAAUUUUCAAGUCGAAAAAACUUGUGUUUCUAAAUUAUAGAGUAAAACAAAAAAAAAUUUUUCUGCUAUCACGCACCACUGUUUAUAUCAACAUUUGACGUCAAAGAAAUCGAAAAGAAAUUCAAAAAGAUUUGUACAAAAAAAAAGCCGAUUCAGUCCGAUUUUUGAAAAUCGAAUUUCUAAGAGAUCUUGACAUUUUGAGGUUCUAGGAUGCUAUCCUGACUUAUUUCACGAUAACGUCCGAGUGUAUCAGUGAUUACGACUACAUACAAAACAGCCUAUACAUACAGACUUGCGGAUGUUCAAGUACAUUUUUUUUAAACUGUUUUUUUCUUCAAAUUAGCAAAAAAAUGUUUUUGAAAAAACAUAGAAUAAGUUUUCUCCAUUCUUUUCUUGAAAUACGUACUCAUAUUAUUCUAUCGAUGAAAUAUGAACGUUAUAGAGUCAUUUUAAGGCUAGAAAAUCGCUUGACCUUGACGUGUUGAGAGUAGAGCACUACCUCAAACACUUCGCGAUAUAUUAUUACAGAUGUAAUAAUAUUAUCGAAUUCGGCUUAUUUAUUUAUGUCUGAGUUUUCGGGAAAAAAAUACAAAAGCCGAAUGUUAAUACAUAAUAAAUAAGCAUCGACAUGUGGUUCUUAUCAGGUAGUUUGGAAUUGGUGUCUUAUUUCUGCAAAAUAAAGACAAAUUUAUUAUUUUACCGUUUCAUAAUUUUCUCUGUAAGUAAAUAAAUAAAUGUUUUUGUUUUUUACAAUGCCGAUAAAAAUUGGGUAUAAAUACCAAUAAUUUGAAGCAGUUGUUAUGUUCACAUACUUCGGAAGUACAGCAAUUCACUUAUCAAAUUUUCAGAAAUCAUCUCUUCUAGAAUGAUGUUCAAAUUAUUGUCAAUUAUGUUAUUACUUGCAUUAAUAGCCAUCAGUGCAGAGGCAUGUGCUAAAGAGGGUGAACCGUGCACUUGGGGAAAU